rnacentral:rRNA from 1 species
CACCGCGGUUAUACGAGAGGCCCAAGUUGACAGACACCGGCGUAAAGCGUGGUUAAGGAAAACUAAAACUAAAGCCGAACACCUUCAGGGCAGUUAUACGCAUCCGAAGGCACGAAGCCCCACCACGAAAGUGGCUUUAUGACCCCCUGACCCCACGAAAGCUAUGACA